AGCGGCUGUAACAGACGGUAGAGCGCACUUUCGUGCACGACACAAAGCCCGAGAGCUGCAACACCGUGACACACGCUAUGGGAAAAAAGAGUUGCAACAUCCUGAGAAUCGAGCGAGUUACGCUUUUUACUCCUUCUGGCAUUCGUAAAAAUAACAGAGUGGAAGAUUUCUGGGACCAUUUAGCCGAUUCAGAACGACUAGAAAAAACACACACGGAAAGAAGCUUCAAGGCUCUGCCAACACCCCUUGGGGUAUGGGUCAAUCCUGGUACACAGCCGAGAGUUUUGUCCAACUAUUCCAAGUGGCGCAACUUCAUUUGCGACCGGAC
rnacentral:misc_RNA from 1 species